rnacentral:lncRNA from 1 species
GUGGAUUAUUCAAUAUCAAGGUUUGCACUAGCGUCUGUGAAAAAGGAUUAACACUUUCGGUUCUACAAAAGCACAGGCAAUGACUUAAAACACAAGAGGACUACCAGAAUGGACAAUGACUCAGAAGGAUUACGGAGUAACUUGCACUUCAAGAGCCCAUUGAUCUUCCUUUUCAUAUGAUGAAGUUAGUGGAGCACAUUGAGACAAGAAAGUUGUUUGAAGUCACGGAAGCAGUUUGCAGAAGAGCUGGGCCUGUAACCUUAGUCUUUUGGAAUCUACCUAUUACUAUUUUAUUUCCAUUAUUACACACUGACUUCCAAAUGAUUAGAACAAGUUCAGAAGGAUUAGACCAAGAAUUUUAAGCAAGCUUCUUGACUUUAUUUAAAUACUGUAGAAACUGAUUUUAGUUAAUA